UACAGAGGUCUCAAGCGUUGUUCGGAUUCAUUGGGCGUAAAGGGUGUGUAGGUGGCGCGCUAAGUCGGGGUGUGAAAUUUCGGAGCUUAACUCCGAAACUGCAUUCGAUACUGGCGUGCUUGAGGACUGGAGAGGAGACUGGAAUUUACGGUGUAGCGGUGAAAUGCGUAGAUAUCGUAAGGAAGACCAGUGGCGAAGGCGGGUCUCUGGGCCGGAACUGACGCUAAGGAGCGAAAGCGUGGGGAGCCGAACAGG
rnacentral:rRNA from 1 species